rnacentral:rRNA from 1 species
AUACGUAGGGGGCGAGCGUUGUCCGGAAUGAUUGGGCGUAAAGGGCGCGUAGGCGGCCCGGUAAGUCUGGAGUGAAAGUCCUGUUUUUAAGAUGGGAAUUGCUUUGGAUACUGUCGGGCUUGAGUGCAGGAGAGGUAAGUGGAAUUCCCAGUGUAGCGGUGAAAUGCGUAGAGAUUGGGAGGAACACCAGUGGCGAAGGCGACUUACUGGACUGUAACUGACGCUGAGGCGCGAAAGUGUGGGGAGCAAACAGGAUUAGAUACCCUGGUAGUCCACACUGUAAACGAUGAAUGCUAGGUGUAGGGGGCAUCGACCCCUUCUGUGCCGCAGUCAACACAAUAAGCAUUCCGCCUGGGGAGUACGGCCGCAAGGUUGAAACUCAAAGGAAUUGACGGGU